rnacentral:rRNA from 1 species
UGGGGGAAGUUUUCCGUCAAUGGGCGAAAGCCUGACGGAGCAAUGCCGCGUGGAGGUGGAAGGCCUACGGGUCGUCAACUUCUUUUCUCGGAGAAGAAACAAUGACGGUAUCUGAGGAAUAAGCAUCGGCUAACUCUGUGCUAG